rnacentral:piRNA from 1 species
UAUAUAUGUAUGUAUAUAUAUUGUGCAUGU